rnacentral:rRNA from 1 species
UGCCAGCCGCCGCGGUAACACGUACCGGACGAACGUUGUUCGGAAUUACUGGGCGUAAAGCGCGCGUAGGCGGAUUAGUAAGUUAGGGGUGAAAUCCCGGGGCUCAACCCCGGAACUGCCUCUAAUACUGCUAGUCUUGAGUUCGAGAGAGGUGAGUGGAAUUCCGAGUGUAGAGGUGAAAUUCGUAGAUAUUCGGAGGAACACCAGUGGCGAAGGCGGCUCACUGGCUCGAUACUGACGCUGAGGUGCGAAAGCGUGGGGAGCAAACAGGAUUAGAUA